UAUCAUGUUGAAACACAGGUUACCGUACGACCAGCGAAGUUAAGCAACGUCUAGCCUGGUCAGUACCUAGAUGGGUGACCGCUUGGGAAUACCAGGUGCUGUAAG